rnacentral:rRNA from 1 species
UACGUAGGGGGCGAGCGUUGUCCGGAUUUAUUGGGCGUAAAGAGCGUGUAGGCGGCCAGGUAGGUCUGCUGUGAAAACUCGAGGCUCAACCUCGAGACGUCGGCGGAAACCAUCUGGCUAGAGUCCGGAAGAGGAGAGUGGAAUUCCUGGUGUAGCGGUGAAAUGCGCAGAUAUCAGGAGGAACACCAGCGGCGAAGGCGGCUGCUCGUCGGCGUACUGACGCUGAGGAGCGAAAGCGUGGGGAGCGAACAGG